GGGUUGUGAGGUUAAGCGACUAAGCGUACACGGUGGAUGCCCUGGCAGUCAGAGGCGAUGAAGGACGUGCUAAUCUGCGAUAAGCGUCGGUAAGGUGAUAUGAACCGUUAUAACCGGCGAUUUCCGAAUGGGGAAACCCAGUGUGUUUCGACACACUAUCAUUAACUGAAUCCAUAGGUUAAUGAGGCGAACCGGGGGAACUGAAACAUCUAAGUACCCCGAGGAAAAGAAAUCAACCGAGAUUCCCCCAGUAGCGGCGAGCGAACGGGGAGCAGCCCAGAGCCUGAAUCAGUGUGUGUGUUAGUGGAAGCGUCUGGAAAGGCGCGCGAUACAGGGUGACAGCCCCGUACACAAAAAUGCACAUGCUGUGAGCUCGAUGAGUAGGGCGGGACACGUGGUAUCCUGUCUGAAUAUGGGGGGACCAUCCUCCAAGGCUAAAUACUCCUGACUGACCGAUAGUGAACCAGUACCGUGAGGGAAAGGCGAAAAGAACCCCGGCGAGGGGAGUGAAAAAGAACCUGAAACCGUGUACGUACAAGCAGUGGGAGCACGCUUAGGCGUGUGACUGCGUACCUUUUGUAUAAUGGGUCAGCGACUUAUAUUCUGUAGCAAGGUUAACCGAAUAGGGGAGCCGAAGGGAAACCGAGUCUUAACUGGGCGUUAAGUUGCAGGGUAUAGACCCGAAACCCGGUGAUCUAGCCAUGGGCAGGUUGAAGGUUGGGUAACACUAACUGGAGGACCGAACCGACUAAUGUUGAAAAAUUAGCGGAUGACUUGUGGCUGGGGGUGAAAGGCCAAUCAAACCGGGAGAUAGCUGGUUCUCCCCGAAAGCUAUUUAGGUAGCGCCUCGUGAAUUCAUCUCCGGGGGUAGAGCACUGUUUCGGCAAGGGGGUCAUCCCGACUUACCAACCCGAUGCAAACUGCGAAUACCGGAGAAUGUUAUCACGGGAGACACACGGCGGGUGCUAACGUCCGUCGUGAAGAGGGAAACAACCCAGACCGCCAGCUAAGGUCCCAAAGUCAUGGUUAAGUGGGAAACGAUGUGGGAAGGCCCAGACAGCCAGGAUGUUGGCUUAGAAGCAGCCAUCAUUUAAAGAAAGCGUAAUAGCUCACUGGUCGAGUCGGCCUGCGCGGAAGAUGUAACGGGGCUAAACCAUGCACCGAAGCUGCGGCAGCGACGCUUAUGCGUUGUUGGGUAGGGGAGCGUUCUGUAAGCCUGCGAAGGUGUGCUGUGAGGCAUGCUGGAGGUAUCAGAAGUGCGAAUGCUGACAUAAGUAACGAUAAAGCGGGUGAAAAGCCCGCUCGCCGGAAGACCAAGGGUUCCUGUCCAACGUUAAUCGGGGCAGGGUGAGUCGACCCCUAAGGCGAGGCCGAAAGGCGUAGUCGAUGGGAAACAGGUUAAUAUUCCUGUACUUGGUGUUACUGCGAAGGGGGGACGGAGAAGGCUAUGUUGGCCGGGCGACGGUUGUCCCGGUUUAAGCGUGUAGGCUGGUUUUCCAGGCAAAUCCGGAAAAUCAAGGCUGAGGCGUGAUGACGAGGCACUACGGUGCUGAAGCAACAAAUGCCCUGCUUCCAGGAAAAGCCUCUAAGCAUCAGGUAACAUCAAAUCGUACCCCAAACCGACACAGGUGGUCAGGUAGAGAAUACCAAGGCGCUUGAGAGAACUCGGGUGAAGGAACUAGGCAAAAUGGUGCCGUAACUUCGGGAGAAGGCACGCUGAUAUGUAGGUGAAGUCCCUCGCGGAUGGAGCUGAAAUCAGUCGAAGAUACCAGCUGGCUGCAACUGUUUAUUAAAAACACAGCACUGUGCAAACACGAAAGUGGACGUAUACGGUGUGACGCCUGCCCGGUGCCGGAAGGUUAAUUGAUGGGGUUAGCGGUAACGCGAAGCUCUUGAUCGAAGCCCCGGUAAACGGCGGCCGUAACUAUAACGGUCCUAAGGUAGCGAAAUUCCUUGUCGGGUAAGUUCCGACCUGCACGAAUGGCGUAAUGAUGGCCAGGCUGUCUCCACCCGAGACUCAGUGAAAUUGAACUCGCUGUGAAGAUGCAGUGUACCCGCGGCAAGACGGAAAGACCCCGUGAACCUUUACUAUAGCUUGACACUGAACAUUGAGCCUUGAUGUGUAGGAUAGGUGGGAGGCUUUGAAGUGUGGACGCCAGUCUGCAUGGAGCCGACCUUGAAAUACCACCCUUUAAUGUUUGAUGUUCUAACGUUGACCCGUGAUCCGGGUUGCGGACAGUGUCUGGUGGGUAGUUUGACUGGGGCGGUCUCCUCCUAAAGAGUAACGGAGGAGCACGAAGGUUGGCUAAUCCUGGUCGGACAUCAGGAGGUUAGUGCAAUGGCAUAAGCCAGCUUGACUGCGAGCGUGACGGCGCGAGCAGGUGCGAAAGCAGGUCAUAGUGAUCCGGUGGUUCUGAAUGGAAGGGCCAUCGCUCAACGGAUAAAAGGUACUCCGGGGAUAACAGGCUGAUACCGCCCAAGAGUUCAUAUCGACGGCGGUGUUUGGCACCUCGAUGUCGGCUCAUCACAUCCUGGGGCUGAAGUAGGUCCCAAGGGUAUGGCUGUUCGCCAUUUAAAGUGGUACGCGAGCUGGGUUUAGAACGUCGUGAGACAGUUCGGUCCCUAUCUGCCGUGGGCGCUGGAGAAUUGAGGGGGGCUGCUCCUAGUACGAGAGGACCGGAGUGGACGCAUCACUGGUGUUCGGGUUGUCAUGCCAAUGGCACUGCCCGGUAGCUAAAUGCGGAAGAGAUAAGUGCUGAAAGCAUCUAAGCACGAAACUUGCCCCGAGAUGAGUUCUCCCUGACUCCUUGAGAGUCCUGAAGGAACGUUGAAGACGACGACGUUGAUAGGCCGGGUGUGUAAGCGCAGCGAUGCGUUGAGCUAACCGGUACUAAUGAACCGUGAGGCUUAACCUUACAACGCCGAAGCUGUU
rnacentral:rRNA from 1 species